UGCCAGCAGCCGCGGUAAUACGAAGGGGGCUAGCGUUGUUCGGAAUCACUGGGCGUAAAGCGCACGUAGGCUGACUGGUCAGUUGGGGGUGAAAUCCCACGGCCCAACCGUGGAACGGCCUCUGAUACUGAGUGGCUUGAGUGUGCUAGGGGUAAGCGGAACGUGUAGUGUAGCGGUGAAAUGCGUAGAUAUUACACGGAAGGCCGGAGGCGAAGGCGGCUUACUGGGGCACAACUGACGCUGAGGAACGAAAGCGUGGGGAGCAAACAGGAUUAGAUA
rnacentral:rRNA from 1 species